AAUAAAAAUUUUUUAUUAAAAUUACUAUUAAAAGAAUAUUAAGCCUUUUAAGAAAAAAAAGUUACCUUAGGGAUAACAGAGCAAAAAUUUUUUAGAGAUCAAAUCAAGAAAAUUAAAUGCUACCUCGAUGUUGAAUUAAGAAAAGAUCUAAUAGAAGAAAAUUAGAUUAUAGGUCUGUUCGACCUUUAAAUUCUUACAUGAUUUGAGUUAAGACCGGUGUAAGCCAGGUUGGUUUCUAUCUUCAUAAUAGAAGUUUUUAUAGUACGAAAGGACCUAAAAACUUAAUUUUAUUAAUUAAUUAGCUUAUAUAAAGCAAGUAUUUUGAAAAUACUAGAAAGAUUUAAAAAUUUAUUAAUUUUAUGU
rnacentral:misc_RNA from 1 species